UACGUAGGGGGCGAGCGUUGUCCGGAUUUAUUGGGCGUAAAGAGCUCGUAGGCGGUUCGAUAAGUCGGAUGUGAAAUCUCCACGCUCAACGUGGAGGGGCCAUUCGAUACUGUCGUGACUCGAGUCCGGUAGGGGAGUGUGGAAUUCCCGGUGUAGCGGUGAAAUGCGCAGAUAUCAGGAAGAACACCAAUGGCGAAAGCAGCUCUCUGGGACGGUACUGACGCUGAGACGCGAAAGCGUGGGGAGCGAACAGG
rnacentral:rRNA from 1 species